UACGUAGGUGGCAAGCGUUGUCCGGAUUUAUUGGGUUUAAAGGGUGCGUAGGCGGCCUUAUAAGUCAGUGCUGAAAUAUCCCGGCUUAACCGGGAGGGUGGCAUUGAUACUGUAGGGCUUGAGUAAAGUUGAGGUUGGCGGAAUUGACGGUGUAGCGGUGAAAUGCUUAGAUAUCGUCAAGAACACCUAUUGCGAAGGCAGCUAACUAAGCUUAACUGACGCUGAUGCACGAAAGUGUGGGGAUCAAACAGG
rnacentral:rRNA from 1 species